UACAGAGGUGGCAAGCGUUGUUCGGAAUUACUGGGCGUAAAGGGCGCGUAGGCGGCCCGUCAAGUCCCGUGUGAAAGCCCCCGGCUCAACCGGGGAACGGCGCGGGAAACUAGCAGGCUUGAGUUCGGGAGAGGGAAGCGGAAUUCCCGGUGUAGUGGUGAAAUGCGUAGAUAUCGGGAGGAACACCAGUGGCGAAGGCGGCUUUCUGGCCUGUUCUUGACGCUGAGGCGCGAAAGCUAGGGUAGCAAACGGG
rnacentral:rRNA from 1 species